AUACCUUGCCUUGACAUCCCCCUGCCUGUAGUUUUCUCUCUUCCAUUUGCAUCCCGCCUUGGGUUGGGGAGGAGGACGCUGCUUGCUCGGAGAGCUCGAGGCACCUCCAUGAGGGAGGGGGGAGGCGGCUGAUUUUACCUUCACGACAACCCUGUGAGGCUAUCUCAGAAGGUUUUAAGGAAAGUGGACCAAAAGCUCUCCAGGAUCAAGACCCUUCUAAUCCGGGAUCUAGUUUACAAUCAUAGUCUGUUUCUGUGACAAAAUUGUGGAAUAUGAAGGUGAUGCACCCUCUCUUAAUUGUUUAUCCUACCUUAAUUGGGAGG
rnacentral:lncRNA from 1 species